rnacentral:pre_miRNA from 1 species
AAAACAUUCGGACCGUCGGUCUACCGAGCAAUAUCGCUUCCCGCUCAGUGGCAGAUCUUCCCUUUGUCGU